UGAGGAAUAUUGGGCAAUGCCCGCAAGGGUGACCCAGCAACGCCGCGUGGAGGAUGAAUGUCGUAAGAUUGUAAACUCCUGUUAGAGGGGAAGAAUAGUACCGGUUGGACCGGUAUAUGACUGUACCCUCAGAGAAAGCCCCGGCUAACUACGUGCCAGCAGCCGCGGUAAUACGUAGGGGGCAAGCGUUGUCCGGAUUUACUGGGUGUAAAGGGCGCGCAGGCGGGAUAAAAAGUCAGUGGUGAAAUCCUACAGCUUAACUGUAGAACUGCCUUUGAUACGUUUAUUCUUGAGUUCGGGAGAGAGAGACGAAAUUCCAGGUGUAGUGGUGAAAUACGUAGAUAUCUGGAAGAACACCAGUUGCGAAGGCGGUCUCUUGGUCCGACACUGACGCUGAGGCGCGAAAGCGUGGGGAGCAAACA
rnacentral:rRNA from 1 species